rnacentral:rRNA from 1 species
GACGAACGCUGGCGGCGUGCUUAACACAUGCAAGUCGAACGGUGAAGCGCCUUCCUUUUUGGUGGGUGUGGUUGAGUGGCGAACGGGUGAGUAACACGUGAGUAACCUGCCCCUUUCUUCUGGAUAACCGCAUGAAAGUGUGGCUAAUACGGGAGAUUCUGGGUCUGUCGCAUGAUGGGUCUGGGAAAGAUGUUGUUUCGGUGGGGGAUGGGCUCGCGGCCUGUCAGCUUGUUGGGGGUGUGAUGGCCUAGCAAGGCGGGGGCGUGUAGCCGGCCUGAGAGGGUAGACGGUCACACGGGGACUCAGGCCAGGCCGGGACUGCUACGCGGGCCAGCAGUGUGGAGUAUUGCACAGUGGGCACAAGUCUGAUGCAGCGACGCCGCGUGUGGGAUGGCGGCGUUCGCGGUGUGAAGCUCUUUGGCCAGUGAAGCGGGCCUGCCUCGUUUGUGGGUGGGUUGACGGUAGCUGGAUAAGAAGCACCGGCUAACUACGUG